rnacentral:rRNA from 1 species
CAUAUUACUAAGCGGAGGAAAAGAAACUAACAAGGAUUCCCUCAGUAACGGCGAGUGAAGCGGGAAUAGCCCAGCGCUGAAUCGCGAUGCUUGUAGUAUCUGCGAAAUGUAGCGUUUAGGUGAAUCGUCGGGGCGGUUGAUCGUUGCCCAAGUCCUCCUGAACGGGGCUUUACCCAUGGCGGGUGUCAGGCCUCUGGAGGCGUCGAUCUCCGUCUCCCCGGUCUACCUUGGAGUCGGGUUGUUUGAGAAUGCAGCCCAAAGCGGGUGGUAAACUCCAUCUAAGGCUAAAUACUUGCACGAGUCCGAUAGCCAACAAGUACCGUGAGGGAAAGUUGAAAAGAACUUUGAAGAGAGAGUUCAAUAGUACGUGAAACCGUUUAUAGGUAAACGCAUGGAGUCGUAAAGUGGUCCGGAUAGAUUCAACCGUUCGAGCGUUGACUUUGGCGGGGUGGCCCAACGGAUGCUCAAUCGCACCGGCCUCGUCAACGAUGGUCUUCGUCGAUCGGCGCACUUCUUUCCGGGCAGCGUCACGACCGAUUCGCCGACGGUCAAAAGCUUUGUCGGAAGGUGCCUCUAGUUUCGGCUGGAGAGUUAUAGCCGGCAACAGCGUCGUCCGUUGGCGGAUCGAGGAAUGGCCGUGCCCGCUUCUCGUAAGCACGGGCCCUCGUUUCCCGUACGUCGUUCGACUGGACUGGACUGUCUACAGUGCUGUCCGACUGCGAUGUGCGCCGAAGUCGAGUGCGCUCCCGAGCGGCACAAAAGGUCAGUGGCGAGUUGGUCGGCAAUCCAUGCGACCCGUCUUGAAACACGGACCAAGGAGUAUUGCAUACAUGCGAGCGGCAGAGACGAAAUCUCGAACGCGUAAUGAAAGUAAAGGACGGUCUCGUAUCGUCUUAGGCGAGAUCCGGUGGCCCCGCGCUGCCGGCGCAUCGCUGGCCCGUCUUAGUCUCGACGCAGACGAGGCGGAGCACGAGCAUGUACGCAGUGACCCGAAAGAUGGUGAACUAUGCUUGAAUAGGACGAAGUCAGAGGAAACUCUGAUGGAGGUCCGUAGCGAUUCUGACGUGCAAAUCGAUCGUCAAAUUUGAGUAUAGGGGCGAAAGACUAAUCGAACCAUCUAGUAGCUGGUUCCCUCCGAAGUUUCCCUCAGGAUAGCUGGCGCUCAUUUGCUAAGCAGUUUUAUCCGGUAAAGCGAAUGAUCAGAGGCCUUGGGGUCGAAACGACCUCAACCUAUUCUCAAACUUUUAAUGGGUAAGAAGUCAGACUUGCCUAAGCGAAGUCUGGCGAACGAAUGCGAGUGCCUAGUGGGCCACUUUUGGUAAGCAG